UUAGGGAGACCUGCCCAUUCAAUGAAUUGAAAGCAAGCAGCGCUAGCAAUAGCUAAGUGAGUGAAUAGGUUUAGGAUGGGUCAUCCCAAAGGUCGUUCGGAUAUUUGUGUUGGCUUCUAGACUAUAUCGGUUCGGUUCAUGGGCUAUUAGCUCAGGUGGUUAGAGCGCACCCCUGAUAAGGGUGAGGUCCCUGGUUCGGGUCCAGGAUGGCCCACCUUAUUAACCUUAGUUAGAUAAGGGGGUUUAGCUCAGUUGGUAGAGCGCCUGCUUUGCAAGCAGGAUGUCAACGGUUCGAGUCCGUUAACCUCCACUGAGACAAUGCUAAGCAGCAAUGCGAAAGCAUCAAGUCUGAGAUGAACCGAUAGUUAGGAAUCGUUAGAAACUAAUUCUAGCAAUGCAUCUUGUUUCGGCAGGGGCAUCUGCUGGAUUUAGAUUCAGCAAAGAACCUUGAAAACUGCAUAG
rnacentral:tRNA from 1 species